GUGGUUGGGACCGUCCCCUCACAGCCGUCCCGCCCCGCCGCCGCCGCGCUGCGCCCAUGGUGAUUGUGCUGCAUCCCCCGCGCGCCGAGCGGGGCGAGCUGCCCGCGCCUCCCCGCCGGGGCGCCCAGGUGUUGGUGUCUUCAGAGUCAUUUAGGCGUUUAGUUCUGAGGAAGUAGAGACACAAGGAUUGAGUCUAUUUUAUGUAGAAAGCUACAGCUCUUCAUCAGUACUCUUUUUACUCCUUCCUAUCCCUCCUAUAGGGGAGGACAAUUUGGGAAUUAUUUUAACAGUCAUUUACUCCCCUUCCCCCCUCACAAUUCUACCCUAGUCCCCGAGGCAUCCGCUAGACAUUGCCUGUUAUAGGACCAGGAGAACGUUCUCAUCAUCAUCAUCAUCAUCAUCCCUUGCUUGCUUUGAGAGCUUCAGUAGUACCCUUCCCUCCUUUGGAGUGUAGUGCAGAGAGGCAUCCAGAAGACUUCCUUGCCACCCUUUUUGGUUAGUAGAGGAUCCAGGAAAAGGGGUACCUAGCAAGACACGUGACCUCCUUAAGGGAGCCAGAACUGAAGCAGCACUUAGCACGCUGAAGGAAACACCCAUCUUUAGUGUCUUUUUCGUCUUCCACUCCUUCCUCACCAAAUUUCUGCAGUUCCAUUGAAGGGAAACCUUGAAGGUUGCAAGACAAGUCCAAGAUGUGCAGUUCUGUUGCUCCCAGGCUGUGGUUCUUAACAGACCGUCGCAUCAGAGAAGAUUACCCUCAGCAGGAGAUCCUGAGAGCACUGAAGGCCAAAUGCUGUGAAGAGGAGCUGGAUUUCCGGGCCUUGGUGAUGGAUGAAGUGGUGCUGACCAUUGAGGAUGGAAAUCUUGAUUCCAUGGUGCAAAACUUCAGCAUGUGGCGUGACUUUAAAGCGAAACAACAAAAUAGACUGAGAGAUUAUGAAUUGGAAAAUUAUGUCGUUUUGGUUCACAGCACAGAGACGGUGGCAAUUUUGGGAUUGUGUCUGCGGGUGAAAGGGGAGCUUGUUACUUCUUACCCACAAGUGGUGGUUGUGCGUGUGCCAACACCUUGGGUCCAGAGUGACAGCGAUAUCACAGUCCUUCGCCACCUAGAGAAGAUGGGCUGUCGACUGAUGAACCGUCCCCAAGCCAUCCUCAACUGUGUCAACAAGUUCUGGACGUUUCAAGAACUUGCUGGUCAUGGUGUGCCUCUUCCAGACACUUUUUCGUAUGGUGGUCAUGAGAAUUUUUCCAAAAUGAUUGAUGAGGCGGAAGUGCUGGAGUUCCCUAUGGUGGUGAAGAACACGCGGGGUCAUCGAGGUAAAGCUGUGUUCCUGGCACGAGACAAGCACCAUUUGGCCGACCUAAGCCAUUUGAUCCGUCAUGAUGCCCCUUACUUAUUUCAAAAAUAUGUUAAAGAGUCCCAUGGCAAGGAUGUACGUGUCAUCGUAGUAGGAGGCCGUGUGGUGGGCACCAUGCUCCGCUGCUCAACAGAUGGGAGGAUGCAGAGUAACUGCUCACUUGGUGGUGUAGGAAUGAUGUGCUCACUGAGUGAACAAGGCAAGCAGUUGGCAGUCCAAGUGUCAAACAUCCUGGGGAUGGAUGUGUGCGGCAUUGACCUGCUGAUGAAGGACGACGGUUCAUUCUACGUCUGCGAGGCCAAUGCAAAUGAGCCAAAAAAGUCAAACAAUCCAGAGAAAACCCCUUCUCCCCUUUCCGAUGGCAAGAGUGAGAACUUAUGAAAAAUCCUUGAGAAUGUUCCUUCCUAAACUUUUCCCCCCAGUAAUGCAAGCGGGUAAAAUGGUAAACGCAGCAGUUUGGUGACAUCCAAAACCGACCUGUUGUCAGGUAAAUUGAGACUUUUCUGCUCUUACUGUAACCUUCAUAAAUUUGCUAACUUGUCUGCCUUCCUUUCUUCCCAUCAGUUCAUUUUGGUGAAACUUGUUGAAUGAUUUCUUUAACUGUGAUGUUUAGAGAAAAUCCUACUUUUCUUCCUCGAUUUCCCUCCUUAUGCUUGUUGACCUUUAAAAACUGUCAUUGUCCUUUGCUUUACUCAGGUAAGACAGAAGUGAGUCCCCUCAUGUGACUGUGUGAGGAAUAGUUUUGUAAUACAUUCAUUCCACUUCUUUGUCAGUUCAAGGUAGUUUGCCUUCAAGUGUACUAUUUUAGCUUAGAUUUUUGAAAGGCAUGUUGCUUUCCAUUUACCAAAUGAACAUAAAAUAUAACUGCAUCAAUUAGGAGUUGAUAGAUAUGAAAAACUAGUGCUAAGAACGUUAAAUCUAUUAAAUUUCAGUAGAGCAGGAUCCGGUAAAGAGGGCAGAUGGAAGAAUACGUGUGCUGAAGAAAAAGACUGUUGGGUUGAUUAUUUCUGUUUGUGGAGGAUGGGGGAUAUAUUUUAUGUUGUCCUUACUGCUGUAUCAAAGCACUUGUACAUUUUAUCCUUCUCUGGUAACUCAACUCCCUGAAUCUCAAACCACGUAAAACUGCUGGGUACUUAAUAUUCUUUUACUUCUUUUAAGGAGGAUAAUCUUGUAUUUUACUCAGAUGUAAAUAUCAGACAAUUGGAAUACCAUUCCAAGUUGAAGAAUAUGAGCCUACAGACAGGCUUCCAAGUUUCCAAAUGCAGUUUUCUAUUUCCCAUGACAUCUGUAAGGAAUUAGCACUUGUUUCAGAUUAUUUUUCUGUGUAUGCUAAUAACUCCUCUAUACUGUAAUAAAAUAGUCUACUUUUCGUAGUCUCAAUUUAUAUUUUCCUGAUACACAGUAAAUUUAUCAGCAAUACCAUAAACUGCAGCUUCAAAUUAAGGUGGGAGGGAAUAAUUUUAUAGCCAAAUUUUGCUCUCAAUUACACUGAGAUAAACCUGGAAUCACUCUGUGAAAGUCAGUGGAGUGAUAUCCAAUUUCACUGGUAUAAUUGAGUGUAUAAUUUGUGUCUUUAAUUUUACUUGCAAGAUAAUUUUACAAACCUGUUAUACUUAUGUUUCCAAUGCUUUUUCCUUUCAGACACACCCACUUCUUGCGUCUCAGCACUGGGCAGGCCUAUUCCUUUAUUUGUGUAUAUUUUUGUGCAUCAACUGCUAUAGGACACGGGUGUAACACUUUCAGGCAUGUGGUUGGGUGUCUUUUUGGGGUUUGUAAUAAUGUCUAAAUAUAAGAAUUUCUUUUCCUCAAAUUUAUUAAUGAAUUCAUGUUGGAUCACAGUUUUGCAUCUCUAACCUGAUUUUAGAUAAAUAUUAAGUAGAGAUUGUCUUGAAAGAAAUACAGAUCUUUGGUGGGGAGAGUUGAUAAAAAUGUACUGCAUUCUGCAGAAAUUAAUGUUUUGGUAUUUAAUGUUUCUUGAAAGGUGGUUUUACAGAUCAUGCUCCUUCCUCUUCAUGGAAUGGCUUUCAAAGCCUUGUAUUGAUCUUGGUUUUGCCCAGUGCUUUGCCUAGUGUAUGGGGAAAUGUUGUAGAACUUGAAUAGGCCAUGACAUCUUAGACAAAGGAUGAUGAUUAUGUGCAUGCUGAACACGAACUUCUUCUAUAUGCCCUUCUGCUGCAACAGAAUAAUAAAACUGGUAGGUGGCAGCAGCAGCAGCAGAAGAAACUCAUGACUGUGACCUGAGAAACCUCCAGUACUGGGAGAAAUGGAUUGCAAAAUACUAACUGGAGUAAGGGGAAUGGAGGAGAAAGGCAGAGUCCCUGAACUGUCCCUUUGAAUGCCUUAUGGGUUGUCUUGAAUCCCUCCCUGGGGAAGGUGCACUCCCCUUUAUGGACCACUGAUCCAGACAUCAUAAAAUACUUACUGUUGCAGCUGUCAUUAGUAUGUUCCACCAUAACAAUACCUCCAUUUCGAGAGUCUAAUGCGUGUGAAAGAUGCUGGAUCACCAGUUGCAGAGAUUGAACUCUACCUACUGGAAAGGUUUUUCUGCAGCAACAGGAGGUCGUCUUUUGCCUCUUAUGGGGACAUUUAGCCUUUUGAUAAUGCCUCCAUCACAACGAAGGGAAGAAAGGAUGGACCAGCAAUGAUGUGGAAUGGAGUGAUGUCCACACAUGGCAUUAACAGUCAUUAUGAUCCCUGUCCUAAUUACAUGGAGAACUGAAUAAAGAGUUGAAUUGUAA